rnacentral:rRNA from 1 species
GAUGAACGCUAGCGGGAGGCCUAACACAUGCAAGCCGAGCGGUAUUUGUCUUUCGGGACAGAGAGAGCGGCGUACGGGUGCGGAACACGUGUGCAACCUGCCUUUAUCAAGAGGAUAGCCUUUCGAAAGGAAGAUUAAUACUCUAUAAUAUAUUGAUUGGCAUCAGUUAAUAUUGAAAGUUACGGCGGAUAAAGAUGGGCACGCGCAAGAUUAGCUAGUUGUGUGAGGUAAGGGCUCACCAAGGCGAUGAUCUUUAGGGGGCCUGAGAGGGUGUGCCCCCACACUGGUACUGUAACACGGACCAGAAUCCUAGGGGAGGCAGCAGUGAGGAAUAUUGGUCAAUGGGUGCAAGCUUGAACCAGCCAUCCCGCGUGAAGGACGACUGCCCUAUGGGUUGUAAACUUCUUUUGUAUAGGGAUAAACCUCUCCUCGUGAGGAGAGCUGAAGGUACUAUACGAAUAAGCACCGGCUAACUCCGUGCCAGCCGCCGCCGUAA